rnacentral:rRNA from 1 species
GACGAACGCUGGCGGCGUGCUUAACACAUGCAAGUCGAACGGAAAGGCCCUGCUUUUGUGGGGUGCUCGAGUGGCGAACGGGUGAGUAACACGUGAGUAACCUGCCCUUGACUUUGGGAUAACUUCAGGAAACUGGGGCUAAUACCGGAUAGGAGCUCCUGCUGCAUGGUGGGGGUUGGAAAGUUUCGGCGGUUGGGGAUGGACUCGCGGCUUAUCAGCUUGUUGGUGGGGUAGUGGCUUACCAAGGCUUUGACGGGUAGCCGGCCUGAGAGGGUGACCGGCCACAUUGGGCCUGAGAUACGGCCCGGCCUCCUACGGGAGGCAGCAGUGGGGAAUAUUGCACAAUGGGCGGAAGCCUGAUGCAGCAACGCCGCGUGCGGGAUGACGGCCUUCGGGUUGUAAACCGCUUUCGCCUGUGACGAAGCGUGAGUGACGGUAAUGGGUAAAGAAGCACCGGCUAACUACGUG